UCCGAGUUGUCCCCGGCAGUCUCUUAUGAGUCCCCGGCAUAACCCGCUGGUAACAUAAGACAAGGGUUGCGCUCGUUGCGGGACUUAACCCAACAUCUCACGACACGAGCUGACGACAGCCAUGCAGCACCUGUGCUGGUGUUCCGAAGAAGGGCUCGACUUUCAUCGAGCUUUCACCAGCAUGUCAAACCUAGGUAAGGUUCUUCGCGUUGCCUCGAAUUAAGCAACAUACUCCACCGCUUGUGCGGGCCCCCGUCAAUUCCUUUGAGUUUCAGUCUUGCGACCGUACUCCCCAGGCGGCGAACUUAACGCGUUAGCUUCGAUACUGAGUGCCUAGUUGCACCCAACAUCCAGUUCGCAUCGUUUAGGGCGUGGACUAC
rnacentral:misc_RNA from 1 species